rnacentral:rRNA from 1 species
UACAGAGGUCUCGAGCGUUGUUCGGAUUUACUGGGCGUAAAGGGAGCGUAGGCGGUUCAGUAUGUCGAAUGUGAAAUCCCACGACUCAACCGUGGAAUGGCAUUCGAAACUGCUGGGCUAGAGUACUGGAGAGGAGAGCGGAAUUCUUGGUGUAGCGGUGAAAUGCGUAGAUAUCAAGAGGAACACCGGUGGCGAAGGCGGCUCACAAAGCCAAGAUUGACGCUGAGGCACGAAAGUGUGGGGAGUCAAACAGGAUUAGA